AUUCAGAGCCGGGUCACCGCCGAACGGCCGGCCAAGGUCUCGUGACUUGAGCCGCGAGCUGGGAUCCGAAAACACCCCCGUGCCCCCACGCGCCUCCCCACUCUUCUCGGUUCCCCCACACCGCUCCAUUCCGUUACAAAACCCCAAGCUGCAACCCCACUGACAGAGACACAGAGAGAGAGAGAGAGGCUCUCCCGGACUCCCGGUUCCCCCCUGCCUGCGCGGCGCGCGGCGCCUCCUCCCCCCCGUCUCCCGUACGUAACAGUACCACCGGCUGCACGGCCGAUGGCGUGCCCCGCGGCGCCGCACGCGAGCGCGGCCUUCCUCGCCAGCCCCGCGGCGCCGCUGCCCGCGCGCCGCGCCUCGCCCCCGGCCGCGGCCCCGCGCCGCGCGUUGUCGGCCGCCGCCACCACCACAACCAGCUUCGUCCUCGCCGACGCCCCCCGGGGGAUCAAGGAGGAGCAGGCGGACGCGGGCGCUCAGGCGGCGGCGGUGGCGCGGAGGGACGUCAGCCCGGACACGGUGGCCUCCAUCAUCCUCGGCGGUGGCGCUGGUACGCGCCUCUUCCCGCUCACGCGGACCAGAGCCAAGCCCGCGGUGCCCGUCGGGGGAUGCUACAGGCUCAUCGACAUCCCGAUGAGCAACUGCAUAAACAGCAAGAUCAACAAGAUCUACGUCCUCACCCAGUUCAAUUCCCAGUCUCUCAAUCGCCACAUCGCACGGACAUACAACUUUGGCGAGGGAGUUGGAUUCAGUGGUGGGUCUGUGGAGGUGCUGGCAGCUACACAGACAGCUGGGGAAUCCGGAAAGAAAUGGUUCCAGGGAACAGCAGAUGCUGUCAGGCAGUUCCUCUGGCUUUUUGAGGACGCAAGACUCAAAUGUAUAGAAAACAUACUGAUUCUGUCUGGUGAUCAUCUGUAUAGGAUGGAUUACAUGGACUUUGUGCAGAAGCAUGUUGACUCUGGUGCUGAUAUUUCAGUUGCGUGUGUUCCUAUGGAUGAAAGUCGAGCAUCUGAUUUUGGAUUGAUGAAGGCCGACAGGAAUGGUCGCAUCACUGAUUUCCUUGAAAAGCCCAAGGGUGAAAAUUUGAAAUCAAUGCAAGUGGAUAUGGGAUUGUUUGGAUUAUCCCCAGAGUUUGCAAGUACAUACAAAUACAUGGCUUCAAUGGGAAUAUAUGUAUUUAAGGCAGAUGUUCUCAGAAAGCUUCUGAGAGGGCAUUAUCCUACUGCUAAUGAUUUUGGCUCAGAAGUGAUUCCAAUGGCUGCAAAAGAUUAUGAUGUGCAGGCUUAUUUGUUUGAUGGUUACUGGGAAGAUAUUGGGACAAUAAAGUCUUUCUUUGAAGCAAACCUUGCUCUCACCGAUCAGUUUCCCAACUUCUAUUUUUAUGAUCCCGUGAAGCCUAUUUUUACAUCUCCUAGAUUUUUACCUCCAACCAAGGUAGAAAAUUGCAAGGUUUUGAACUCUAUAAUUUCACAUGGCUGCUUUCUAACCGAGUGCAGUGUUGAGCACUCUGUCAUUGGUAUCCGCUCAAGAUUAGAACUGGGGGUGCAGCUCAAGGACACCAUGAUGAUGGGGGCAGAUUACUACCAGACUGAAGUUGAGAGAUUAUCUGAACUGUCAGUUGGAAAAGUUCCAGUUGGUGUUGGAGAGAACACUAAAAUAAGGAACUGUAUCAUUGAUAAAAAUGCUCGAAUUGGGAAGAAUGUAGUCAUUAUGAACUCUGAGAAUGUGCAAGAAGCAGACAGGACAGCUGAAGGAUAUUACAUUCGUUCUGGGAUAACUGUGGUGCUCAAGAAUGCAGUAAUUCUGAAUGGUACAACAAUUUAGAAGAUAUAGAGUUAUCUGCAGGUUGGGGUCGACGUUCCUGGGUCGAGGGUCAAUGCCGUUGGACCCGUUUUUUAUGACUAUAUCAUCCUCAGAUCACUCAUGCUAAGUAUAGCAGUGGAAAGAUCUGUACAUAAAUCCUUACUAUCUACCAAACAUCAUCGUGGAUAAAAAGGUUGUCAGGGGAAAGAUUUGUUUCUUGUAUGUAUUGGGAACAUGCUCAACAAACAUGCUCAACAAAUGUAUUGAUGCUCAGGGGCAAAUUUUCCCUAGAUUGAGCUACCCUAGUGCCAAGAAUAUCAAUCCCUCAAUGAAGUGUUACCUCUGAAACACCCCAUUGAAGCUCAGUCACAGCAGAGUUCUACGCAGAUGCAAUCAAUAAAACCCAAUAGCACAAAAGAUUACAAGACUGUCGAUGCAGCUAAGUACUGGAGAGCACCUGCAACUGCAACACACCAACAGUUCUGCCAGACCAUGAACAUGAGGCCAUUGCACGUUCUUUCACCUCAGCUAGUGCCGGCGCGGUGGCACGCACAGAGGGUACCUUUCUUCCCUUUUUUGCAGCAAUUUACUUAAAGUGUACAGGCGAGAGAUAGGUACAGUACGAGAGAGCAUGCUAUAUAUAGUACAUUCUAGUCUACUGUGAUGAAGUCUCCUGAUUCUGCUCCACUCAUAGUCCAGUACUCUUAGUGAAAAGUACCCACUCUUAUUUGUUUGGCGUUUGCCAAACCUUCAUAAUUUGAACAACUCAAUUCAUCCCAAAUUAUAA